CCUACGGGAGGCAGCAGUGGGGAAUAUUGGACAAUGGGGGGAACCCUGAUCCAGCGACGCCGCGUGAGUGAAGAAGUAUUUCGGUAUGUAAAGCUCUAUCAGCAGGGAAGAAAGAAAUGACGGUACCUGACUAAGAAGCCCCGGCUAACUACGUGCCAGCAGCCGCGGUAAUACGUAGGGGGCAAGCGUUAUCCGGAUUUACUGGGUGUAAAGGGAGCGUAGACGGCGAUGCAAGUCUGAAGUGAAAGGCGGGGGCCCAACCCCCGGACUGCAUUGGAAACUGUAUGGCUGGAGUGCAGGAGAGGUAAGUGGAAAUCCUAGUGUAGCGGUGAAAUGCGUAGAGAUUAGGAGGAACACCAGUGGCGAAGGCGACUUACUGGACUGUAACUGACGUUGAGGCUCGAAAGCGUGGGGAGCAAACAGGAUUAGAUACCCCAGUAGUC
rnacentral:rRNA from 1 species